AUUCUCCUGCCUCAGCCUCCUGAGAAAAAAUAAAUUUUUAAAAAGAAUCUAUUUUAGAGAAACAUGAAAUAUGAACGACAGUAGGGGGCACUUGUAUGACAGUGGAAUAAAGACAAGCAUGAGAGUGUUCAGUUUGAAAUGUGAACUUUUACUUGUUUCUUGGAAGUUCGUGUUUUUUUCCUCAUGCAACUUUCUGCAAAACUCAUGGUUGGAUUUUAAAUAUAAAAUAUUUGACAUGACCGAGUUAUAUUUAUUCUUUGUCAACUAAAGAUAGACUUCU